AGAGGGAACAUCCCACCACAUCUCGGCACCACAGAAACCCACCAUGUCCCACAGGGGAGAAAAACACUAUCUCUGCCCUGAGUGUGGCAAGACUUACACCCGGGAAUACGACCUCCGAGUCCACCUCAGAACGCACACAGGAGAGCGACCGUACCAGUGUUAUGACUGCGGGAAGGCCUACGUCCGGAAAAACAAUCUCCAACAACACCGGCGGUCACAUGCUCCCAAGCCCAUGGGACCGACCCGCCAUUUAGGCAGACCACCCAGGGUGGGCUCUAGUAGUGGAAGGUCCAACCAAUCACCCAGGGUGGGAUCUAGUAGUGGAAGGUCCAACCAAUCACCCAGAGUAGGAAGAGCUAAGCAAAACAUGCCUACAUCAAUGUAAAUAUGAGAGACUCGUGCCCUUACCGCAGAUGGAGAGAGGACACUGGCAGUUCUGGCACCUUUAAACACGGGGCUGGGUCCAUAUCAUCAUCCCAAAUAGCACCCUAUUUCCUAUAUAGUGCACUACUUUUGACCAAGGCCCAUAUGGGAACCUUUAAGGGCUCUGCUGAAAUGCAGUGCACUAUAUAGGGAAUAGGGUGCUAUUUUGGACACUCACACUGCAUCUUAUGACUACAGAAUCGUUAUUCUUUCUGGUGUGUGUGCGCGCGUCUGUAUGCACGCAUGUAUUUAUGUUGUGUUGUUGUGAUCAGUACAAUACAGUCCACUGUGUUGUGUAAGAUAAUCAAUCAUACUAUGUAAUCCUGUGCAUUUUAUUUCUUGUUUAUUUUAUAUAUCUUAUUUUACUUAUUGAAGCUAUCAUGAUACUAAGAAAUGACUUGCAUUUCAUAUAACGCCAUGGUCCAAUAAAUGAACAUUGGGGGAAAAACGUCUCUCCUUUAUUACCCCUUAUCCAGGGCACGAUACACCGACGUCACAGAUGCGCGAUUCUUUAGGGUGGCAGUAAGGAAGCCAUUGCGAUCUGCCCUCAGCCUAGAUUUAUGUAUUUAUUACUUCUAAACAAAAUAAACUUUUUGGUGUUCUGA